CCUACGGGGGGCAGCAGUGAGGAAUAUUGGUCAAUGGGCGAGAGUCUGAACCAGCCAAGUCGCGUGAAGGAUGAAGGAUCUAUGGUUUGUAAACUUCUUUUAUAUGGGAAUAAAGUGAGGAACGUGUUCCUUUUUGUAUGUACCAUAUGAAUAAGCAUCGGCUAACUCCGUGCCAGCAGCCGCGGUAAUACGGAGGAUGCGAGCGUUAUCCGGAUUUAUUGGGUUUAAAGGGUGCGUAGGUGGUUAAUUAAGUCAGCGGUGAAAGUUUGUGGCUCAACCAUAAAAUUGCCGUUGAAACUGGCUGACUUGAGUAUAUUUGAGGUAGGCGGAAUGCGUGGUGUAGCGGUGAAAUGCAUAGAUAUCACGCAGAACUCCGAUUGCGAAGGCAGCUUACUAAACUAUAACUGACACUGAAGCACGAAAGCGUGGGGAUCAAACAGGAUUAGAUACCCCAGUAGUC
rnacentral:rRNA from 1 species